rnacentral:rRNA from 1 species
CCUACGGGAGACAGCAGUGAGGAAUAUUGGUCAAUGGGCGCGAGCCUGAACCAGCCAAGUCGCGUGAGGGAUGACGGUCCUACGGAUUGUAAACCUCUUUUGCCGGGGAGCAAGCGUGCGUUCGUGAACGCACGUCGAGAGUACCCGGAGAAAAAGCAUCGGCUAACUCCGUGCCAGCAGCCGCGGUAAUACGGAGGAUGCGAGCGUUAUCCGGAUUUAUUGGGUUUAAAGGGUGCGUAGGCGGUCCGUUAAGUCAGCGGUAAAAUUGCGGGGCUCAACCCCGUCGAGCCGUUGAAACUGGCAGACUUGAGUUGGCGAGAAGUACGCGGAAUGCGCGGUGUAGCGGUGAAAUGCAUAGAUAUCGCGCAGAACUCCGAUUGCGAAGGCAGCGUACCGGCGCCAGACUGACGCUGAGGCACGAAAGCGUGGGGAUCGAACAGGAUUAGAUACCCUUGUAGUC